rnacentral:snRNA from 1 species
AUACUUACUUGUUGGGGGACAUAUCAUGAUCAUGAAGGUGGUUUUCUUAGGGCAAGACUUAUCCAUUGCGCUUUGGAUGUGCUGAGUCACGUGAUGGUCCCACAUGUGGGAAACUUAGCUAUGGAAUUCGUGCUAAUUGGAGACUGUGUUCAUGCUCUUCCC